rnacentral:lncRNA from 1 species
CAUCAUGUGUUCUCCAGCUAACCGUUUCGAUGCCUCUAAUCGCACAGCUCGAUCUAUUUGACAGAUAAAUAGUACCUUCACUAUUCUCCAGAGAGUCAAACUUUUUCUCUCUGCAACAUGCAUGAUAGAUGCAUGCAGAAUCUAAAAUCCAUUACUGAAAAAAAGUAGAUACCUCAUCAGAUAUUUUCAGGACAUCAUCCUCUAACUCGCUACUGACUGUCACUGC